CGUAAGGGCUCGCAGGCGGUUUCUUAAGUCUGAUGUGAAAGCCCCCGGCUCAACCGGGGAGGGUCAUUGGAAACUGGGGAACUUGAGUGCAGAAGAGGAGAGUGGAAUUCCACGUGUAGCGGUGAAAUGCGUAGAGAUGUGGAGGAACACCGGUGGCGAAGGCGACUCUCUGGUCUGUAACUGACGCUGAGGAGCGAAAGCGUGGGGAGCGAACAGGAUUAGAUACCCUGGUAGUCCACGCCGUAAACGAUGAGUGCUAAGUGUUAGGGGGUUUCCGCCCCUUAGUGCUGCAGCUAACGCAUUAAGCACUCCGCCUGGGGAGUACGGUCGCAAGACUGAAACUCAAAGGAAUUGACGGGGGCCCGCACAAGCGGUGGAGCAUGUGGUUUAAUUCGAAGCAACGCGAAGAACCUUACCAGGUCUUGACAUCCUCUGACAAUCCUAGAGAUAGGACGUCCCCUUCGGGGGCAGAGUGACAGGUGGUGCAUGGUUGUCGUCAGCUCGUGUCGUGAGAUGUUGGGUUAAGUCCCGCAACGAGCGCAACCCUUGAUCUUAGUUGCCAGCAUUCAGUUGGGCACUCUAAGGUGACUGCCGGUGACAAACCGGAGGAAGGU
rnacentral:rRNA from 1 species